UUUUUUUUUUUUUUUAAUAUGUAAGAACAUUAGUGUCAGCCACCCCAAUAACAAAUUCAUGGUUACAUCACAGCUCCCACAGUAGAGGGAAAGACUGUGGCAUAUAAAGAUUAUGCAGAUUACAAAUAUUUUGCAGUACCUCAGUGAUGCUUUGCCAAGCUUUUGCAAUUUCUAGAUACAAUCCAAAUCAAAUAUCCUGUUUUGUAAAACUUUGAAUUUCAAAGUCUUCUUUUGUUACUGUUUCUAUUUUCCUUGCAUCGCUGUACCAAAGCGAUGGAGUUUCUGGCAGUUCUGUACAACCUCUGCGUUCCUUUUAAAUUAGUCCAGUUCAUACCUUUUUAUUUGAUGACACCUGUCCUCCCAGCCCACUGUCAUGAGCUACCGAAUGACUUUGAAAAAUCUACUGUCAUACCUAGAUCACUUCACACAAAAAAUCAAUUCACCGUUAAAAUAGUCAAACUCAAACCCAUAGUAGUCCUGUCUGGAGAAAGGAAAUGAUGAUCUGCCCUUCCAGAGUGAUAUGUCCUUGGCUGCUUCCAUGAGUGCUUCCAUUGGAUUAAAAUUGUCCUGCUUCUUCCUGCUCUGGUUGAGUCAGAGAAGACCAGCUGUAGUUGUGGCUGCACUCAUAAAUGUGCAGACCAUGGCGGUGGACCAUGGGGAGGGGAACAGCAGCUUGUGCCUAAAGGGUAAAGCAUUCCUUACUGUAGCAGCUGGAUGCAUCCUGCUGUGGGCUGAGGGAGCACUUCUGUGGUGGAGCUGUAUCAUCCUGGAGAAGUCCCUGAGCUCCUGUGCCAUGUGCAGCAGGGUGCUGAGGAGCUGGCAGGUAGGCCCCAGUACCUUGUGCAGGGGAGCCUCAGGAGCUGUACAAUUACAGGUGUGAGCUGCCUUCCCAGGGUCUGCAGCACCUUGUGCAGUUGAGGCAAUGGUAGAAAAACAACUGUGGGAUUUUUUUCUUUGAGAUCAGUGUUCCAGUAAAUCAUUAAAUUCCAAAGAAUAAACAAGUUCCCCCAGGAAGAAGCAAUUCAUUUGUGUUACUCUCUGACCUAUUAAAAUGCAAAAAUUGCUGUGGAAUUUACUCUGUGGUGAUAUGUUCCAGCGGUGGAGCAGUUUUCAUUACAGCUAGUGUUUUUCUAAUUAUAACUAUAAAUAAAAAUUAACCUCCAUCUCGAUUCAAAAUGGGUCCCACAGAUUGUCAGGUGCAUAGGUGAUGCAGUGCAGAGAGACAAAUGCAGCGGCACCUGCACCAUCAUCAUAUUGACUUACAACUUGGGGGUUAAUUAUUGAAUUCUUUGACUAAAAAUGGCUGCCCCAAUACAUGGUAAUUUCCAGAACGCUUAAAAGAAGCUUGACAGCUUCUCAUUAGAUUACAAUAGACAAACUGCCUGAAUCUACAGUGCAAUUUUAUUAAGGAUGCCCAAGUAUAAAAACAAGAGCUUUUCAUUUUGGUAUUGUAUGCUUUACAUUGCAUUGAUUUGCUUCUAUUGAUUUUUAAUAAAAAAGUGUUUUUCCAAAUGGUGUAAAUUAAUUGUUAUUGCACCACAGAAAACAGAACACUGCACCACAGUAAUUAACAUUUCCUGGCACAGAAUCCAGAGAGCUUGCUGCUGAAAUGGGCUUUAAAGCAUAUUUUGACUGUACUGCAAGCAUUGGUGUGUCUAUGAAGCUGUGAUGUGGCAGGCACAGCAACUGCUUUCACAGCUUGGAUAUGAGCAGAUACCCUCCAGGGCUCACAAGGCACUGUGUCCAUGAGAUAGAGGACAAACAGGCUAUUUGCUCUCCUUUCACUAUUUUUCCACAGCUGUUUGAGGACUUUGGAGACUGCUUUUGCCAAGCUGUGGAAAUAUGUCCUCUCUUUCUUUCUGUUACCUUCAAUUCUUGGUAUCCACCCAUUAUCUUUUGUCAUAUACAAGAGUUGCAUGCUUUAGGGAUAUGGCUCUUCACUGCUUUUCAUGUACGAAGGUCCUCAUGCCUGGCUGAAGCUGCUUGGCUCUGUCAUGGAAUGGGGAGCUUGGACAUACCAAACAAGGUGAGGUAAAAAAGCCUGUACAGCAGGUAUCUCCAGUGUCAGCAGGAUCAUGGAAACUGGACACAAGCAUCUCUUCUUCCCCAUCAGGCACCUUUAGAGGAUUUAAGCAAUGUUAAGCAAACUUGGAUAGUACAUAGUGAAUACAUCCACCUCUUUAAAUACUAUAGUUUAAGUACAAAGGAAAAAAGGCACCUUCUUUAUAUAUAGCCAGUGGGGAAACUAAGGCACAGGAAACAGAAAAGAUUGAGAGGCGAAUCCUGUCAUGUUAGCAGCUGCACCUCAAACACAAUGCAAUCCCUUCUUUUGGGGACAUUUAAGUUAUUUUGUAGUUGUAAGCUACGUGUUACACAAAAGGAAUUUUUCCUUCAAAUGUUUUAUCAGAUGACAGUGAUAAUUCAAUUAACAAAAAAAGAAAACUCUACAUACCUUACUCCUCAGAUGAUCUUCUUUUGUACUAAGUUAAAACAUACCUUAAAACAAACAAACAAACAAAUAAAAGCAGUUUACCUUGGAAAAUACCUGUGGAAAAAAAGGUAAAAAAUCACCAGUAGAGAAUUACUACACAGCUGGAAGUGGAAGGGUGCAUCUUCAUUCCCAGGAAACUCCUCAUGAACAGAAUCUCUGUAUGAGAGAGGAACCCAAAACAAGGAUGGCUGCUGCAGCCAUCCAAUCCUUCACACUCACAGCUAGAGGAACAGCUAAUGCUCUCAUCUAGUAACCAAGAUCCUUUAGCAAGUCAGGUAUCUGAUUUCUAUCUCUUGUCCUAACCACCUAUGCCAGAGACGCUUAAACUAUGAUUAACGCCGUAUUAUACACCCUUCUUAUAGACAUUUUUUUUUUUUUUUGGUAUGUCAGGGGAAAUCACAGGAGUGCACACGUUCCCAAGAAGUUCAGAUAUCCUCCUUGUUGUUCACUUAGUGGCGAUCCCAAAACUUUGAUUCUCAAACCUUGAAAUUCAGUGGAGAUUUACAAAUAAAUAGAAAAGAGAAUUAAUAAAAUAGUCUUUAUAUUAAUGAGAUUAGUUAAAUUAAAAAAAUUAUUCUUUAUGAAUAUUGUUUUCUUCUCUUAGUCAUUUUUCCAAAAACCUUGCCACUGGGUGCAAACUUUGAGCCUGAAAAGUAUGCAGUAUCUGAUCAGCUGAUACAAAUCAGCGGAGCUGUGCUGUGUUCUAUCCACUGAGAAUGUGACAUUCCAUUUUUGUCUGUUCUCACACAACUAGGUUUGAUACCAGGAGCAGGAGGAAAUUCUGUGAAACUCAUACUGAAACCAGUGGAAGUAUGAGAUGGGAAGGACUUCCUCCUAGCAGGUUUGGAAGGGGUCAUCUGUCACAAAAGCCACAAUAACUCUUAACAAGCAAGUGGACAAGAUGAGACCAAUAUGAAAAGAGAAAAGUUUGGAAGAGAGCACCAUGAGACUUCUACUUUCUUUAGGAAAUUGUAUCCCAAUGGUCUGAUAUGAAAUGUAUCUAUACCGUUAAGUGGAUUAAGAUGUUAUAGUGCUAGUCAUGCAGAUAAGGUUUUGUUACCAUGAUGGAGAUCUGUAGGAGAAAGAAUGUCUGCCUGUUGAGGAGAUAAGGCAAUAAAACCACUCUGCUUUUGUACGUCUGUGAUCCAGUGGGGAGGAGCUUUUUCCACUAUUGAGAAGUUCAGGUUCAACAAAAUCUUCUUGCAGUCCUACUUGCUGACCUCAUGAUGGAUUCAGGCAAAGCCUUUUGUUUGAGAUAGGAUAUGAAUUGAAACAAGAUGGUAAAGAAAAACAUUGAAUCAGAAUUCAAUAGAAGUGCAAAUUUGAAAGUCUCCCCCUAGCAGACGUAUUUUAAUGAAUGCAUAGUUACAGGGUGACUGUGUUAUCUCACUUUUCUUGUGCCAUUAACUGAGAAGAGAGUUUAAAAAAAAGUGUCCCCACAGAAAUCUUAUUCAUAUGUUUUAUUAUAUGCUCCAGCACGGGCACCACUUUAGUUUAAUGGUGUGUUGGAUGAUGGUACAAAUUUAUAGCCAAAGGUUUACAUCACAGACAGCUGGAAUGAAUAACAAUAAAUUAAUUUAAAGUGCUACAAAAGUGCUCCCCAUAGUAUGCAGUGCUUAUGUGCUCAAGGCUAAUAAUUUAUAAAUGCACAUCUUUUAUAAUCCUGAUCUAAAGUCCUGAAAGCAGCUAGUUAAAAAGCAGUCACAUGACAUAAAUUAUUUUUAUUAAUAUUUCAAAUGCACGAUUAGGGUGGGCACUGUGGUCAUUAGCAUUAGAUAGCUUUCAUUUAUGACCAAGUGCAAUGAAGCAACAGCCAGAGACAGCAAAACUAGCUAAGCAAUGGCACAACAAGUGUGAGAUGGAUGCUUCUUCUUUCCCAUGAUUUUCAUAUGUUAGUAAUCAUCAUGGCUGCAGCUAUGCGCUAUUUUCUUGACUAGCAGUCCUUUUCCUUUCAUUACUCUGCUAUGUUUAGCACAUCAGCUACUCACCAGGCCCAAAUGGUGAAGCCACGUGCAGCUGGGUGCAGUCAGAGGCCAUAGUGCUUCUCCUUGUGGCUUCUUUCCAUUCACAGACACUGAACACAGUGAGAGCACUGCUCUAAGAAUGCCUCUGAGACUUCCCUCGUUGCAGCAGUAGUGCUAAUGUGAACACUAAACUAGUAUCAAACGUUCAUGCAAACUCUUGCUUGGAUAAGAUAAGUUAUUUUGAAGUGUUUAUCUUGCUAAGAGGGGACACAACCAUUUUUGGAUCUAUGAAAGUAUUAGAGAGAAUUUAUGUCUCCAGAGAAACAAAUAUUUGCAGAAGAGCAUUGUGGAGAAUAAAGAUGAGGCCACACCAUGAGAUUCAUAGAAUCAUACAACCAUUAUGGUUGGAAAGAUGUCUAAGAUCAUGUAGUUCAGUCAUCAACCCAUGCCUGUGACCACCCUAGACUAUGUUACUCAGUGCAGUAUCCACCCUUAUCUUGAAAACCUCUGGAGAUGGUGACUCCCUGGGCAGCCUGUUCAAUCUUUUGAGUGGAGGAUAUGUUAUUUUCCCAGCAUUACCCAACAUUAAACUGCAGUCUUCUCUAGUUUAAGAAUGUAUUUACUCUCACUGGUAGAAGUAAAAAAGUAGCAGCUCAAAUAACUUCCAUAGCACUGCAUCUUUUUCUUCAGUGCACUUCUCAGGCAUAUCUCACUACUGGGAUAUCCCUGUCUUAAUGCUAUCGUUAUUUUCUCCAAGAAAAUUUGGCCUCCUCUCACUUUUCUUGGAGAAAAACAUUUACUUCUUGAAUGCAGUGUCAUAAAGCUGAGGUUACAGAAGGAGUCUUUCACAUUGGAAGAAGGAUCGUGAAUAAUUUCUGUGUCUCUCAUUCUGGGUGACUGCCAUAUAUCGGACUACAUAUUUGAAUCUUGGCAGAUGAUUGGAAAAUAUACACUACAAGCAACCCCAUUCACUUCAGCAGUUCUAGCAAAGUAAGCAAAGUGAUACAGAAAAUGGGCUGGAGUAUUAUAGCCUUGGCCCUUCACUCCUACUUUAAAGGAAAAAAACCUUUUUGCACUGCUCACAAUGUAAGCUUCUAAGCAGCAAUUUGCUAUUAUUUUUUAAUAUUGUAGGCCUCUACAAGCUCAUGGCCUCUCUCCUCUUCCUUUCUAGCUUUCUUUGAAAGUACUUUGUAAUUGAACACAUUUUCCAGAGGUCAAUGGGGGCAUAUUUGCAUUUUGAUACAUUCUAAUUUUUUUUGCCUCCAGCACGCCACUCCAAAGCACUGUGCUAAUCAGAAGCAAAUAAUGAUCUCCUAGGUGCUGUAAGUGGGUGACUAGGCACAAAAAGGCAUAACAACAUGCAAAAAUUAGUGAGGAAAAAAUACACGGUAAAAUAAAUAAAUAAGAAACAGAGUGAUUAUGCUGGCAAAAGCGUUUAGAUUUGUAAGCUGAAGUCCUGCAUGGAACAAGCAGCUAAUUUGUUUCUGUGCGCCACUGAAGGGAUAAGGGCGUUAAGGGCACUCCUGUGCUGAUGGAGGGCUGGAUUCUCUGUGCUCAUUGCUCAUACACACGUCAGUGUACCCAGAUGAUGCAUAAGCAUUUCUGAGGGCUUUUUAUACCACCAGGAAACACCUUGUGUUCUGAAAAAUCCAAAUACAAGAUUAGGCAGGAUCUAGAAAAAUGGGGCAGUCCCCAAAGCAUGGGUUUAUCUGCAUGGAGGUCUUUUAUUUUUAGCACUGGUGACAGGUUUUCACUCAAGCAUCCCUGUCCCAGUGGGGAUGGGGUGUAUGUGAGAAGGAGAAGAUUGGAGCUGAGAAGAUUAUUUCAUUCUCAAAAUGUUUUUCUUAUUUUAGUUUGAAUAUCUUUAGCAGACAGAGGUGCAGAGAAACACGAGCCCUUCCCCACUAACUGCAGCAUCAGGAGAAAAGCUCCUGAUAAGCAGAUGCUGCUCAGGCAGCACUCAGCCAGGCAGUGUGUGCUUAUGCACGAGAGAUGGAGGUACCGGCAGGCAGCGAGCAGAGGCACUGCGGUGAGUGUGUGUGUGGCUGUGAGAGAGGGGCAAUGCAGGUUUGUCUGCAGAAGGAAACAAUGCCUGAGCAAAGCUGAGCUGCUCCAGUGAGCAUUUUGUGUGUGUGUUUGGAAGAAGGCAAAGAGAAGCAGCCAAGGGAGAGAGACUGAAUGGAAAAGAAGGACUGCCGAAGUGGAAUAUGGUGUGGAAAUGUGAACGUAGACAUGGACACUGAAAAUGCCCCAAACAGUUCUUCUUUCUGUCGCAAGAGCAACAAAACUCUUCCAUCUGUGCUUUCACUGCUUCUCUAUAGGUAUAAGAGGGCUGUCAAAAAGCUGCAGAGUUACACCCCUGGAGGAGGGAGGAGUGUGGCUCUCCAUUGUUACCAGUCUACUUCAACUUCCCAGAUGAAAG
ensembl:lncRNA